rnacentral:rRNA from 1 species
AACGAACGCUGGCGGCGUGGAUAAGACAUGCAAGUCGAACGGGACAGGUAGCAAUAUCUGUCUAGUGCGAACGGGUGCGUAACACGUGGGCAACAUGCCUGGAAGAGCGGGAUAGCCCGGGGAAACUCGGAUUAAUACCGCAUGUGACAACGGGGCGGCUUCGCCCUGUUUUCAAAGGUGGGGACCGCAAGGCCUGCCGCUUCCAGAUUGGCCCGCGUCCUAUCAGCUAGUUGGCGGGGUAACGGCCCACCAAGGCGACGACGGGUAGCUGGUCUGAGAGGACGACCAGCAACACUGGAACUGAGACACGGUCCAGACACCUACGGGUGGCAGCAGUCGAGAAUCUUUCACAAUGGGGGAAACCCUGAUGGAGCGACGCCGCGUGGAGGAUGACGGUCUUCGGAUUGUAAACUCCUGUCAUGAAAGAACAAGCGAUGCGGGUGAACAGCCCGCAAAGUUGAUAGUAUUUCAAGAGGAAGGGACGGCUAACUUCGUGCCAGCAGCCGCCGCAGUA